UACGUAGGGGGCAAGCGUUGUCCGGAAUCAUUGGGCGUAAAGCGCACGUAGGCGGCCCUGUAAGUCCGUUGUGAAAGUCAAAGGCUCAACCUUUGAAUGCCGAUGGAUACUGCAGGGCUAGAGUCCGGAAGAGGCGAGUGGAAUUCCUGGUGUAGCGGUGGAAUGCGCAGAUAUCAGGAGGAACACCAAUAGCGAAGGCGAGUCUCUGGGAUGAUGCUGACGCUGAGGCGCGAAAGCCAGGGGAGCAAACGGG
rnacentral:rRNA from 1 species